rnacentral:lncRNA from 1 species
ACCAGGAUCCCCAGCUGUGUUCCAUUUGCACAGAUCAGCUAAAAGUGGCCAUGGGAGAAAGGUAUAGUUUGGGUUAGAAGAGACGUAUUUUUAAAUCAGUCAGGUCUUCUUUGCUGCUCUGCUUACAUGGCAGUGACUGGUUGCUUGAUUAUAUUUUAAAGGCGCAUAGACAUGCUGAUGAGGACACAGAGGAAGCAAGGGAAAGUUACACACACCACUCCUGGAUUCAAACAGACUCGAGCUAUCCAGAGAAGACUGAAAGAAUAUAUGCCAGGAGGCCCAAAGACUCUUGUUGCAGGCGAGGAGUGGCAUAGAAGAGGUGUCAUGCUGGGCCACAGAAGAUGUGAUUUCAUGCUGUUCAAGAACCCGCUGCAGCCUUCAGGUGUCUUCGGCACUUCUGAAUCAAAAGUUCAAGCCAAAGGUUUUCUUCAACCUGCCACAUGCUGGAAGGGGGCUGAACUAUGCAUACAUAUAGAGGGGACUCUGUAA